rnacentral:rRNA from 1 species
UUAAUUUGACUCAACACGGGGAAACUCACCAGGUCCAGACAUAGGAAGGAUUGACAGAUUGAGAGCUCUUUCUUCCCUCACGGUUAUCCAAGAUGGCGUCU